UGGCAAUGAUUAAUAUUUAUCCGCGCUUCUGAGUGCACUCAAUGAAGCACAAAAAUAAAUUAUGGUUGAAUUUCUUAGUAUGAGCCA